GCUCUGCUGGCGCAAUGGUAGCGCGCAAGACUUCUACUCAUCUUCCCGAUGAACAGUAAUCUUGAGGCUGUGGGUUCGAGCCCCACGUGGAGCU
rnacentral:tRNA from 1 species